rnacentral:misc_RNA from 1 species
UCUCCGUUGGUGAACCAGCGGAGGGAUCAUUACCGAGUUUACAACUCCCAAACCCCUGUGAACAUACCUAUCGUUGCCUCGGCGGUGCCCGCUCCGGCGGCCCGCCAGAGGACCCCCAAACUCUUGUUUUAUACAGUAUCUUCUGAGUAACACGAUUAAAUAAAUCAAAACUUUCAACAAUGGAUCUCUUGGUUCUG